UCCAGACUCCUACGGGAGGCAGCAGUGAGGAAUAUUGGUCAAUGGCCGAAGGGCUGAACCAGCCAAGCCGCGUGAAGGAAUAAGGCCCUACGGGUCGUAAACUUCUUUAGUCAGGGAACAAAGGGUGCCACGUGUGGCGCUGUGAGUGUACCUGAAGAAUAAGCAUCGGCUAACUCCGUGCCAGCAGCCGCGGUAAUACGGAGGAUGCGAGCGUUAUCCGGAUUUAUUGGGUUUAAAGGGUGCGCAGGCGGCUUGUUAGGUCAGCGGUAAAAGCCCGGGGCUCACCCCCGGCGAGCCGUUGAAACUGGCGGGCUGGAGUUGGAGAGAAGUACGCGGAAUGCGCGGUGUAGCGGUGAAAUGCUUAGAUAUCGCGCAGAACCCCGAUUGCGAAGGCAGCGUACCGGCUCCACACUGACGCUGAGGCACGAAAGCGUGGGUAUCGAACAGGAUUAGAUACCCGCGUAGU
rnacentral:rRNA from 1 species